GCCCGUUUGCUCAGUUGGUAGAGCGCUCCACUGGAAACGGAGAUGGUCCCUGGUUUAAUACCAGGACCAGGCG
rnacentral:tRNA from 2 species